CAGUCGCCACGGUAAUACGGAGGGUGCAAGCGUUAAUCGGAAUUACUGGGCGUAAAGGGUGCGUAGGCGGUUGUUUAAGUCUGUUGUGAAAUCCCCGGGCUCAACCUGGGAAUGGCAAUGGAAACUGGACGGCUAGAGUGUGUCAGAGGAUGGUGGAAUUCCACGUGUAGCAGUGAAAUGCGUAGAGAUGUGGAGGAAUACCGAUGGCGAAGGCAGCCCCCUGGGCCAAUACUGACGCUCAUGCACGAAAGCGUGGGGAGCAAACAGGAUUAGAUACCCCCGUAGUCCCUGUCUCUUAUAC
rnacentral:rRNA from 1 species